rnacentral:tRNA from 1 species
GAGGGUAUAGCUCAGUGGCAAGAGUGCAUGCUUAGCAUGCACGAGUCAUGGGUUCAAUCCCCAGUACCUCCA